CCUCCCAAAGUGCUGGGAUUACAGGCAUGAGCCACUGCACCUGGCCGCAACUAUGGUUUUAUGUGGGCAAGGUAAGACCCCAGCACAAAUUCAGCCACUGCUACUUCUCAGAGGAGCCAGGUUCUUCCUGCAGCCUGGGCAGGGGAACAGGGUAAGAUACCUGGAAUGAAGGUGAACCUGGAAGAGGCCAGCCAGCCUCCCAGAGGGGAUUUCGAGACCUUCCCAGUACAGAUCUGCCGAUUGCCGUAGUGCUAGCAUUGGAGGAAAUGGGACGCCAGUGUAUGGAAAGGAGCAGAUAAAUCACAAAGCUUAGGCGAGUGUGACACCCCAUGAUACCAGCAUUUCCCAAGCAGGGUGCCCUUAGAAUCAGAUUCAGGGUGCCCAUAUAGGAUCCUUUCUGCUUUUAGAACAACAUGGUGGAGGCUGGAGAGCCUGACCCACCCCUCCUCCCUAGGGCCAGUCACCCCUUGCCAGGAGCAGCCUCCUCCAUUUACCUCUCUAUGCCUUAUAGAUGAAUUAUUUUCUACACGUGCCAAGAUGCGAAAAAGGCUGAAAAGCUUUAAGCAGCCGCAGAGGUCUGGGGUAAAAGAAGGUGAGAGAGGAGUUUAGCUAAGAAGAAAUAUUCCAGUAGAAUAGAGCCUGGGGAAUUGGAAGAGCAAAGUGCCAGUGGUUGGGGGGGCAUUUGUCCUUGUAAAGAUGAUUUCCCCCUCCUGUGUUGGUGGGAGAGUGAAUAGAAGUUAGCCUGCAGCAAGAACAAAUAUACCCCAAGGUCUAGGUUACUGCUUUGUGGCUGACAAUCAUCUGAUCUGCCCUUGAGCACAAAUGGAAAGUCUGGACCCAGAACUGCAGCUGAUGCUGAUGCUGAGAUCGCUGAGGCUUGAUGGGGAUAAAUGGACACAGCCUAAGAGGGUGCUGGCUCCUGAGGUUGGCGGCGGCCCCAGGUUCCGGCUGUCUGGAUGGAGGGCUUAGACUGCCCUCACCUGACCUGGCCAGAGGAGCAACCUGCUUCUCCCACACAGAGGCUGCCAGCCACUGGGAGCCUUCAUCAGAACAGUCAAGGGAGGCAGGAGAAGGAGGGGCAAUGAGAAUACUGGCAAAUACUUCUGCAGCACGUACUAGGUGCCAAACACUAAGUGCUUCACGGAGGGUAACUCGUUUAAUCCUCCCACACCAUGAGACCCACCAAGGAGAAGGAACUGGCAGCUGUGCAGGGAGAGACUAAUGGCCCGGAAGGAAGGAGGGGCCUGGAGAGGAGAUGAAGGCGGUAGGGACCAGAGCAGGGCGUUGGCCCUGGCCCUUCUCAGAGGACAGACAAAGGGGGGAGGGGACCGCUGCCCUGAAACACUGAGGAGCUGGCCGGCCAGGGAGCAGCCCUCCUCACCCCCAGCCAGAUAUCCAGCCUGGAGCCUCAAACCUGCUUCCCAGACACACUCUCUUGUCCUGAGGUCCUAUCUGAGGCAGACCCUCUCUAGGAGAGUGCUGGAGUCCCCGGAGCAGCAGCAGCCCAAGCCCUGUGGUUCCUGGCAAACCCAGCAGACCUCCGCAACGCGGCUCCUGCAGACCAUCUGAGCUGCCUCCGUCUACUCCUGGGCAGCCUGUGCUUGCAUUCUGGAAGCUGUUUGACGUACAAAGGCCAGAUAUCAGCCUUCCCAAUAACUCUGGGGUAGGGGAGGGUAUGGUGGGGUGUGUGAUUGUGUAUUUGUGUAUAUGUAACAUGUGUGCACAUAGGUAUACAAGGCUAUGUGUAUGCAUCCGUUUGUGUGCACAGGUUUGUGGACCCGUUCUGGGGCCUUCUCUCUCUUUCAGACUGCUGGGGGUGGGCACCUUCUCUUUCUCCAUCUCUUCCCCAUCCAGCCCCACCUAUCCCUGGUACCUGCAACUCAUCAAUACUGGAAACUGGCUCCUACCAAUCUAUCCACCCC